AUUGAACGCUGGCGGCAGGCCUAACACAUGCAAGUCGAACGGAGCGGCGGACGGGUGAGUAAUGCCUAGGAAUCUGCCUGGUAGUGGGGGAUAACGUCCGGAAACGGGCGCUAAUACCGCAUACUAUCAGAUGAGCCUAGGUCGGAUUAGCUAGUUGGUGGGGUAAAGGCCUACCUAGGCGACGAUCCGUAGCUGGUCUGAUAGGAUGACCAGCCACACGGGAACUGAGACACGGUCCAGACUCCUACGGGAGGCAGCAGUGGGGAAUAUUGCACAAUGGGCGCAAGCCUGAUGCAGCCAUGCCGCGUGUAUGAAGAAGGCCUUCGGGUUGUAAAGUACUUUCAGCGAGGAGGCGUUACUCGCAGAAGAAGCACCGGCUAACUCCGUGCCAGCAGCCGCGGUAAUUC
rnacentral:rRNA from 1 species